rnacentral:rRNA from 1 species
GUCCUCUUACGGGACGCAGCAGUGGGGAAUAUUGGGCAAUGGGCGCAAGCCUGACCCAGCAACGCCGCGUGAAGGAAGAAGGCUUUCGGGUUGUAAACUUCUUUUCUCAGGGACGAAGCAAGUGACGGUACCUGAGGAAUAAGCCACGGCUAACUACGUGCCAGCAGCCGCGGUAAUACGUAGGUGGCAAGCGUUAUCCGGAUUUCCUGGGUGUAAAGGGCGUGUAGGCGGGGGCGCACGUCAGAUGUGAAAAACACGGGCUCAACCUGUGG